rnacentral:tRNA from 1 species
GGAGUGGUACUCAAGCGGCUGAAGAGGGCGGUUUGCUAAAUCGUUAGCAGAGGCAACUCUGGCGUGGGUUCAAAUCCCACUCACUCCGCCA